GAUGAACGCUGGCGGCGUGCCUAAUACAUGCAAGUCGAGCGAACAGACGAGGAGCUUGCUCCUCUGACGUUAGCGGCGGAAGGGUGAGUAACACGUGGAUAACCUACCUAUAAGACUGGGAUAACUUCGGGAAACCGGAGCUAAUACCGGAUAAUAUAUUGAACCGCAUGGUUCAAUAGUGAAUGACGGUUUUGCUGUCACUUCUAGAUGGAUCCGCGCCGCAUUAGCUAGUUGGUAAGGUAACGGCUUACCAAGGCAACGAUGCGUAGCCGACCUGAGAGGGUGAUGGGCCGCACGGGAACGGAGGCACGGUGCAGACUCCUACGGGAGGCAGCAGUAGGGAAUCUUCCGCAAGGGGCGAAAGCCUGAAGGAGCAACGCCGCGGGAGUGAGGAGGGUCUUCGGAUCGUAAAACUCUGUUAUUAGGGAAGAACAAAUGUGUAAGUACCUAUGCACGUCUUGACGGUACCUAAACAGAAAGCCACGGCUAACUACGUG
rnacentral:rRNA from 1 species